rnacentral:rRNA from 1 species
CGUGAGCAACCUGCCCCGAAGACCGGGAUAACAGUGGGAAACCGCUGCUAAUACCGGACACCCCCACCGAGCCCCAUGGCCUGGUGAGGAAAUGCCUGACUCUUUGGAGUCAGUACGCUUCGGGAGGGGCUCGCGGCCUAUCAGCUUGUUGGUGGGGUAACGGCCUACCAAGGCGACGACGGGUAGCUGGUCUGAGAGGACGAUCAGCCACACUGGGACUGAGACACGGCCCAG